GGCUCAGGAUGAACGCUAGCUACAGGCUUAACACAUGCAAGUCGAGGGGAAACGACAUCGAAAGCUUGCUUUGAUGGGCGUCGACCGGCGCACGGGUGAGUAACGCGUAUCCAACCUGCCCACCACUUGGGGAUAACCUUGCGAAAGUAAGACUAAUACCCAAUGAUAUCCCACGAAGGCAUCCGAAUGGGAUUAAAGAUUUAUCGGUGAUGGAUGGGGAUGCGUCUGAUUAGCUUGUUGGCGGGGUAACGGCCCACCAAGGCGACGAUCAGUAGGGGUUCUGAGAGGAAGGUCCCCCACAUUGGAACUGAGACACGGUCCAAACUCCUACGGGAGGCAGCAGUGAGGAAUAUUGGUCAAUGGGCGAGAGCCUGAACCAGCCAAGUAGCGUGCAGGAAGACGGCCCUAUGGGUUGUAAACUGCUUUUAUAAGGGAAUAAAGUGGGUCACGUGUGACUUUUUGCAUGUACCUUAUGAAUAAGGACCGGCUAAUUCCGUG
rnacentral:rRNA from 1 species